AUUCAGACCAGCUAACGUCCGCAUCCAGUAUUCAGUGGCAGUUCUCAUAGCCCCAUCACACUGUUUGUGUCUAAUACAUGCAUCGCUUGAAAGACGGACGCUGUUGAGGGAGCCAUGAGAAGGAGGCGAAAACAUUUCCAUAAAAGAGGUGGGGAGAGAGAAGCACACAAAAAGGCUCUUUGCUGCUCUCAGCGUGGACUGAAAGCUUUGGAAGAAAACACUGCAAUAAACAUCUGUACUUAAAGAAUUAUAUUUCGAUCUCAGUAUGAAGGCUGAAUAUAUUCUGUGGAGCUCUGGAUGACAAACUGCUCAUUCCAGCAACAAAAACAACACGCACCCAGGAUGGACCCCAAAGACGAAGCACUGAGUCUUCUAAACAAGAUUUGGGCCAAGCUGCAGGAUUUGCCCAAUGCCAGCCCUAUCGAAAUAGUAGCUUUCCUCAUCCUUUUAACAUUCAUCUUGGUGGUUUUUGGUAUAGCCGCUCUGACCUGCACAUCAUGCUUUCACUACUGCGCCUGUUGCUGCCGCAAGCGCAAAAAGAAGCAAGCAUCUGACAUAAUCUAAUGCUUUCAAUCAUUUACCACAUCACUUAUCCUCAUUAAGAUUUAAAAAAAAAAAAAAAAAAAAAAGGUUUGUGCCAAGGUAAUCAAGUUUCACACUGAGAACCUGUGAUACAAGCACUUGCCAUGAACGAUGUGGUCAGGCAAGGGUGUGUCCAGGAGGGUGGAAGAGUCCCGGCCCUUUAACUGACAGUAACAUUGAUGUCCUGACUCACUGACACACCUGAUGAAGCUGACAAACAACAUUCCUUGACUCAACUUACAACAACAGCCCUCCUGAUUGAAGGACAAACACAACCAAACCAUAUUCGACCAUGUGAGCCCAUAAAUGGAAUACAUAUGGAACAACAUCAACAUGUUGAUUUUCUUUUUCUUUCAGAAAAACAUGAACGUGGACAUUAAACUUGUUUUUUACUGCCUCCUUUAACUUCAUCAGGAAUGACGUUCACUUUAUGAAUUGCUGUUGGAGCGCAUCCUAAAACCGCAAAAUUGCACACACUGAAUGGUCAGGUCUGCCCUCUGCUGUACACAUUAGGAAAUAAACCCAAUUCAUUUCCAACCAGACCUUAUUUAACCUGUAUUAGACAUGUAAGUAAUGUAUAAAGUUUUUAGCCAAAGAUAUUUACAUGAAUAAGCCAAUAAAGACAGCGUAUCUGAUGUGUGAUGUCUUCACUUACCUUUCCUGUUCACAAAAACGCACCAUGGCGUCAAAGUCAGUAAUGGCCGUUUUAUCUGAUUCCUUUGCAUAGUUACGUUUUUCCUGCAGUCAAAAAUUGGCAAUUUGAUUGGUGGUAAAAUUAACAGAAACUCCUUAUCACUGCUGUAGUGGUUGCUGCUAUGCUGACCUUUUUACGUGCAACCUCUUGAUUGAUGAGAAACAUAAUUUGCUCUCUAUCUUUACGGGAGUAGUAAAUGCGACAGAGCGAUGGCAAUCCGUCUCUUCCUGCUCGCCCAGAUUCUUGGUAGUAGCUUGCCAUUGAUUUUGCAAGGUUCCAAUGAGCAACGAACCUGGUGGAAUAAUAGAGAUACAGUGUAUCACAAAAGUGAGUACACCCCUCGCAUUUCUACAGAUAUUUAUAUAUUUUCAUGGGACAACACUGACACAAUGAAAAGUCUGUGUGCAGCUUAUAUAAUAGAGUUAAUUUAUUUUCCCCUCAAAAGAACUCGAAAUAUAUCCACUAAUAUCUAAACCCCUG